UAAUCUCCCAUUUAGAUUAAGUUUUGAAGGUUUCUCUUGAAUGAAACCCUAGAUUUUCGAUUCUAAGGCUAGAAAUGGGGAUUUUUGAUUUGAGGGCUUUGAAACCUAAUUGAUGGGUUUAUAACCUUUGUUUAGGUUAGAUUGGAAGGACUCUAACUCCCAUUUGGAGAUCGUGAGAGCCUCCUUCGCAAUCGGUAAGUUUUCUCCAACCCUAGCUUGAGAAGCUUAAUGAUUGAGCUAUUUGCCCUUCGUUUCGUUUGGGUGACCCCAUUUUUGAUGUUUCUAGGGUACUAGGAAGCUUGUGGAUAACUUCGUUCGGCGAAACGAAGAAGUCGAUUUUGGUGGGUUUGACUUCAUGAAAAUGGGGCAAAAUGGCCCCUAUGCCUUCUAAACUUUUCGUAAAGUAUUCUUGAAUGCAAAUUCAUGCUAAACAUGAUUUAUGUGAAUUUUAGAACACUUAACAUGCAUGCCUCAUGUAUCGUAAAAUUUGUACUCCAUAUAGUAGAGCUAUAUGUGUAGAUUGCAUGCAUUGUGGAUAGUGCUUGGUUUUGCAAGUUGAGAAUAUGUCUCCAUGCUAAAAUUGAGUGAACUAUGCAUCAUAAAUAUAUUAAUGCCAUGCUUGAGACUCGUUGAACAAAAGUGUCAUAAAGGGGCACUUGGAAUUAGUAAACUAUGAAAAUGCAACUUAAAGACAUGAUGAUAGGCCAUUAUAUAUCUGCUAUAUUCCAUGUUAGAGACAUGAUGACAUAGAGAUAGGCUAUUGAGAUACUUGAUAUAUUCCAUAUUUUAGACAUGAGGACUUGGUACUUGAGAUAGAUCAUUGCUUGCUUUCCAUUGUGCUCAUUCGCACAUGCUUGUGAGGGUCGCUCCCUACAAGCUGGCACUCUGGAGAUAGCCAUCGCGACAUAUGCUCGCCCGUGCGGGAUUGGGCGCCGAAGUGGAUUGCCGUGGGGGAGGCUCAUCCCUAGAGUGGGGAUGUUGACUACCACGGGGCCAUUAGGCACGGCGCAGGCCAGACAGCCUUCGGGUGGGUCUUAUAUGAUUGGGACUUAGUGACAGAACAUGCUAUGGGAACUUUAAAACUAUUAAAGUGGAUUUGGACUAGAAUAGUAAACAAUGACAUCUUUACUAUUUUUGCAUCGAGGACAUCGGAUUGGUUGCAUUUUUAUGCUUAUGCAUGUCAUACAUAUCCAUGUACAUUCAUGAUAUCGUUGCUUUAUUACUUAAGCAAAUCAUGCUAAGUAGAGACUCUAUGUUAAUAGUAAGUUACAUUUUACUUACCUUUCGCUUUACUACAUUGUUAGUCACUGACCUCUUUUCGUAGCUUUCGGGUCUUGUGGCGCAGUUCACUGAAGUCAGUAAUUGCCCACUGGGAACUAUUUUUAAUAGUUCUCACGCCCCCGUUUUCUGGUUUUCUUUCAGAGCCUUCUGCACCGGCGGAGGCAUGGGAUCGCGGUAAGGGGAUCGCAUAGCUAGCUAGUGAGGAGCGGUUCUUGCCUAGGUGGUUUGCUCUUUCUUUUUGUAGUUGAGAGAGAGUGAGAGAUUUUGUAUCCAUGUAUAGAGACCACCUAUGUAUCUACCUUUGACACUUGUAUUUGGGAUUUCCUUUGUAUUACUUUAUGCUUUUAUUAGUGGAUUCCGGUUUUAUGCUCCUUUCUUUAUUGUAGAACUUAGUAUUAUAUCAUACUCUGAUACUCCUAGUUGUCCUGUAUUACCGCUUUAUUGGUUGUUGUUUUUAAACGCCUUAUAUGUUUUAGACGUAUGGCGGGUCUGGGCACGCGCCGGGCGGGCUUCCGCUCGGUCCCGGGGCGUGACAAAUUAAUUUGGUAUCAGAGCCUAGGGUUGAGUCUUAGUGGACCUAGCAAACCUUAGGCCGGUUGGACUAUAGGAGAUAGGCUCGUGAGAGACGAGGUCUAUUCGACUUGUGAGCGAAAGUAUCAUGAUUGGGUAUUACGAUAACUCUAAAAAGUUAGAGUUGAUUGGAGUGUUUGGCUUCUAACUUCGCGGAGGGUUACGUUGGCGGCCGACAACGUAACAUCGGGAGUUAGUUAUAAAUAACACUUCCUUACUUUCGCAUGAUUUGGGUAUUGUCUAUUUUCAGCGGGGAUGCGAUAGCGUGGGUUUUACUAACUUACGCUUCUAUGAUGUUAUAGUGACGAUGCCGAUUACUCGCUCCCAAUCUGCCGGGGCGGACAAUGCGGCGAACUUUGAGGAGGUCGAGACCUCCGCUACCUCCGGAUCGGGCGAGAUCCGUGAGUUGAGGGGCCAGCUUGCGGCCCUCACCGAUUUAGUCACUCAGCAGGCGGAGGCGGCCCGACAGCAGACUGAGGCGGCGCGCUGACAGGAGGCGCGGAUGAAACGCCUGGAGGACUUACUCCUGCAGCAGGCAGCAGCUUCUAGGGAGACGCAGGGCCCCACACCGCCAGCAUCCGUAGUGGACGUCGCACCGAGAGCGCCGUCCCCCGCACCCAGUUCUUCGCGUGCGGCGCCUGUGGCCGCACCCCAGGGGGAGGUCUUGGCGGCACCACCUGUGCAGAGGCCCCCGAUUGGAGCAGCUUUUCCUACUUUGGUUGAGGGGGCGGAGUGAGACAGACUGAUGGAGCGCCUCAACGAGUUCAGGAGGUGCAACCCCAGGAUCUUUGACGGCGAGAAGGUCGACCACUGGAUCGUGGAGAAGUGGUUGAUGCAUAUGGAAAAGCUCUUCCGCGACACCUUCAUGGAGGAGAGGGAUAGAGUUUGGCUCGCCACUCACCAUUUGGACGGCGAGGCCUACCGCUGGUGGUUGGAUCUCCAGGAGAACGCCCGCACAGACUUGGCAGCUAUUACUUGGGCGAGGUUCAAGGAGCUUCUUUUGGCGCACUACUUCCCAACCAGCGUCAAGAGAAAGAUGGAGCAGGAUUUGCGCAGCUUGCGCCAGGAUGACAGGACCAUAGCCGAGUACGAGAGGGAGUUUUCUCAGCUUCUGCAUUGCGUGCCUUUCGUAGUACGGGAUGACGAGGACAAGGCCCGCAUCUUUGAGCGAGGAUUGAGACAGUAUAUCUUCCGGUUUGUGCAAUCCUCUAACCUCCAAACCUACCGGGAGGUGGUGGAUCGCGCGCUCAUUGUGGAGAGCGCCGCGGCGGAUGUCCAGGAGCAGCGAGAGGCUAGGGACAAGGGGAAGGCCAAGAGGCCUGCGGCUGAGCGUGCAAGCCAGAUGCACUCUAGGAGGCCGCCGAAGCAUCCGAGGAGCCAGCAGCGUGGGCGUGGCUCGGACUCUCACCGUGGAGGAUCCGAUCGACGUCGACCUCCCCAGUGUGUGAUCUGUGGUGGUCCCCACGUUCCACCGCAGUGUCCUCAGCGGGGAGGGAGGUGUUUCCAAUGUGGCCAGGAGGGCCACUUUCGGACCGAGUGCCCGAAGGGAUCUUCACCGGCACCGUCGACUGCAUCGGCACCGGCUCUACCAGCCGCCAGCCAGGGGACUCCAUCGGCACAGUAUCAGCCUGGGCGGCCACCCGUCCAGCGCCAGAGCGAGGGAUCUCGACAGGCCCCGAGUGGGCGUAUGUAUGCCGCUCAGACCGAGGAGGCGACAGCAGCCGAGGAUGUCGUUGCAGGUAUCAUUUUACUAGAGUUCGUGCUUUAUUUGAUACCGGUGCAUCGCAUUUAUUUAUAGAUCGGCUGUUUGCCGAGUUGCAUGGCAUUCCAUUGGGUUCUUUGUUGCAUACGGGACAUGUUGUUGUACCCGACCAUAUUUUGGAUAUUAGAGAGUAUAGCCCCAGUUGCCCUAUUCGGGUAGGAGAUUGGAUCAUGCCUAUAGAUUUGCUAGCUUUGCGCAAGCUGGGGGAUUUUGAUGUGGUCUUGGGCAUGGAUUGGUUGACCAAGUAUUAUGCCACGAUUGAUUGCAAGAAUCGCACGGUUACUUUUAGAGAACCUGGGCAGACUGAGGUGGUAUUUAGUGGAUGCCGGAGUUCGCUGUUUGCGAUGACGAUCAGCUCGUCUCGAGCUAGGCAGCUGAUCAGCAGAGGUUGUGUAGCCUAUUUGGCUAGUGUUGUGCUGAGGGGCGAAGAUGACACCCCUAGGAUUGAGGAUAUCCCGGUGGUGCGGGAGUUCCAGGAUGUGUUUCCAGCUGAGCUACCGGGUAUGCCUCCUGAUAGGGAGAUUGAGUUUGUGGUAGAUCUCGUCCCUGGGACUACCCCAAUCUCAAAGGCACCCUAUAGGAUGGCACCGGCAGAGCUGAGGGAGCUGAGGGCACAGCUGCAGGAUUUGUUGGACAAAGGCUUCAUUCGACCAAGCGUUUCACCUUGGGGAGCACCCGUUUUGUUCGUCAAGAAAAAGGACGGAUCACUUCGCCUUUGCGUGGAUUAUCGUGACCUCAAUAAGGUCACGAUCAAGAAUAAGUAUCCGUUGCCGAGGAUCGACGACUUGUUUGAUCAAAACUUCAGGGAUCGUGUGUGUAUUCCAAGAUAGACUUGCAGUCGGGAUACCACCAAUUGAAGAUCAAGCCCGAGGAUGUAUCGAAAACGGCUUUUAGAACACGGUAUGGACACUAUGAGUUCACAGUUAUGCCGUUUGGGCUGACUAAUGCCCCGGCCGCUUUUAUGGAUCUAAUGAACCGUGUUUUCAAGCCUUAUCUAGACAGGUUCGUUGUAGUGUUCAUCGACGAUAUUUUGGUCUACUCCCGAAGCGAUGUGGAUCACGAGGAACACUUGAGGAUUGUACUCCAAGUACUUCGGGAAAAGGAGCUUUAUGCUAAGUUGAAGAAAUGUGAAUUUUGGGUUCGAGAUGUAGCCUUCCUUGGACACUUGAUUUCUGGAUCGGGUAUAGCCGUGGACCCUAAGAAAAUUGAAGCAAUCAAGGAUUGGCCGAGACCGACGAGCGUCACGGAGAUACGGAGUUUCCUUGGAUUGGCCGAUUACUACCGGAGAUUUGUCGAGGGAUUUGCUAAACUGUCUACUCCCCUCACGAGGCUCACGCAUAAAGGAGUCAAGUUCAUUUGGAAUGAUGCGUGCGAGAGAAGUUUCCAAGCGUUGAAGCAACGAUUGACUACCGCCCCGAUCUUGACCCUACCAGUAGCUGGAGCAGGGUAUGUGGUUUAUAGUGAUGCUUCACUUAAUGGAUUGGGCUGUGUAUUGAUGCAAGAUGGCAAGGUGAUCGCGUAUGCUUCUCGCCAACUAAAGGAAUAUGAAAAGAACUACCCGACGCAUGACUUGGAGUUAGCAGCCGUAGUCUUUGCUUUGAAGCUAUGGCGCCACUAUCUCUAUGGCGAGCGAUGUGAAGUAUAUACGGAUCACAAGAGCUUAAAGUAUUUAUUCACUCAGAAGGAGUUGAACUUGAGGCAGCGCCGAUGGUUGGAGCUACUCAAGGACUAUGAUCUGACGAUCCUUUACCACCCGGGCAAGGCUAACGUGGUGGCGGAUGCGCUAAGUAGGAAAUCGAUGGAAAACUUAGCGAUGCAUGCUGUGACUCAACCGCAGUUGAUCGAGCAGAUGAAGCGGUUGGAGUUGGAGAUAGUGACUCCUGACACGCCCUUGAGAAUGAUGACAUUGGUAGUGCAACCUACCUUGUUGGACAGAAUCAAAGAGAAGCAAGUUUCCGAUUUGGAAUUGCAAAAGAUUCGAGGUAAAGUGGUUGAUGGUUGCACCGGCGACUUCCUUUUGGAUGAUCAGGGAUUGAUGCGUUUCUCUGGGCGGAUUUGUGUACCCGCGGAUUCGGGGAUUAAAGAGGAUAUUCUUCAAGAAGUGCACCGAGCGCCGUAUGCUUUACAUCCGGGAGGCACCAAGAUGUACAAGGAUUUAAAGUUACUUUAUUGGUGGCCCGGGAUGAAAAAGGAUGUUGGCGAGUUUGUAACUCGUUGUCUAACUUGCCAACAAGUAAAGGCUGAGCACCGAGUUCCCGCGGGAAAACUUCAGAGUUUGCCUAUUCCCGUGUGGAAAUGGGAGAAGAUCACCAUGAACUUUGUGAUAGGGUUGCCUCGCUCUCAAGCAGGGCACGAUGCUAUUUGGGUGAUCGUGGAUAGGUUGACGAAGUCGGCACAGUUCGUGCCUAUUCAUACUACUUGGACCGGGGAGAAGCUCGCACAAGUGUACCUUGAUGAGAUUGUACGGCUUCAUGGAGUGCCUACAUCGAUUGUAUCAGAUAGAGACACCCGGUUCGUGUCUCACUUUUGAAGGAGUCUGCAGGACGCCCUUGGCACUCGAUUGGACUUCAGCACUGCUUUCCACCCGCAGAGCGAUGGGCAGUCGGAGCGCACUAUACAGACCUUAGAGGAUAUGCUCCGGGCAUGCGUGAUAGACUUCCAGGGAGGAUGGUCGCAGCAUCUACCUAUGGCAGAGUUUGCUUAUAACAACAGUUAUCAAGCAAGCAUCAAGAUGGCACCGUUCGAGGCACUCUAUGGACGGAAGUGUAGAUCGCCACUUCAUUGGAGUGAAGUUGGCGAGAGAUUGGCUUUAGGCCCCGAUGUGCUCUUGGAAGCUGAGGACAAAGUUCGCAUUGCUCGGGAGCUACUUUUGGUAGCGCAGAGCAGGCAGAGGAGCUAUGCUGAUCGACGGCGGCGAGACUUGGAGUUCCAAGUUGGAGACCAUGUUUUCUUAAGGGUCUCGCCGACUAGAGGAAUAAAGAGAUUUGGGAUUCGGGGGAAGUUGAGUCCCUGUUUCAUUGGACCGUAUGAGGUUUUGGAGCGUGUAGGCCCGGUAGCGUAUAGACUUGCUCUACCGCCGAACCUAUCGGGCGUGCACAACGUCUUUCACGUAUCGGUCCUUCGGAGGUACAUUCAUGAUCCAGCUCAUGUUUUGGAAGCUGCACCAGUGGAGCUGCGCGAGGAUUUGAGCUUCGAAGAGCAACUAGUGAAGAUUUUGGCUCGCGAGGUGAAGAAGCUGCGGAAUCGGGAUAUUCCGUAUGUGAAGGUCCUUUGGAGCAACCACGGGGAGCGGGAGGCCACGUGGGAGCUAGAGAGCAUGCUGCAGGAGCGCUAUCCCCAUCUUUUUUAGAUGGAGCUGUGAGGUAUGCUUUGACUUUCGAGUUUCGCGGACUAAACUCCUUUUCAGGAGGGGUGAAUAUGACGCGCUGGACCUUGCAAACUGUGGGGUUCGAGUGAUUGAAUGGGUUAUAAGCUUUUCUAGACUUUCUGGUAGGUCGUCGAUAGUGUUCCGACCUAUGGUUCGAGUCCCGAGAAUGGUGGUUUAAAACCUUGCAUCAAAAUCCAAAAAGUUGAAUUUUUGGUCAGCCUCGGGUAGCCUUCUGCAGGCUGUGUAUCGGUACGGGGUUGAUGGCUGUACCGGUACGGGCCCGCGUACCGGUACACAGACAGCUUUUCGGCCAAACCCCAGGCUCGAGUUUGCGUUUUCGUGGGUUGUGUACCGGUACACAAACCUGUGUACCGGUACGCAGUGCAGUUUGGGCUGUUUCGUGGAGGGGUGGUUUUGCAAUUGUUGCAACACCUAUAUAUAACACCCCAGCCCCCUUUGAGAGCUCUCUUGAGCUCAAACCUGUGGAGAAAAGGUGAGAACUCUUCCCCUUUGGAUUCUUCUCCAUUUUUGAUGGUUUUCUUUGUGGGUUUUGAUCUCUUUCUCCUUCUCCUUCUUGCUUUUGUGGGUUUUCCACCAUUGGAGAAUCUUGAGAUCUUGGUUGGAGCUUGUUUGGAGAUCAACCUUCAACCCUAUAGGACUUGGAGCUUGGUUUUGAGCAUCUUGUGAGGUUAGUAAACUUAAUCUCCCAUUUGAAUUAAGUUUUGAAGGUUUCUCUUGGAUGAAACCCUAGAUUUUGGAUUCUAGGGCUAGAAAUGGGGAUUUUUGAUUUGAGGGCUUUGAAACCUAAUUGAUGGGUUUAGAACCUUUGUUUAGGUUAGAUUGGAAGGACUCUAACUCCCAUUUGGAGAUCGUGAGAGCCUCCUUCGCAAUCGGUAAGUUUUCUCCAACCCUAACUUGAGAAGCUUAAUGAUUGAGCUAUUUGCCCUUCGUUUCGUUUGGGUGACCCUAUUUUUGAUGUUUCUAGGGUAUUAGGA
rnacentral:lncRNA from 1 species